AUUGAACGCUGGCGGAAUGCUUUACACAUGCAAGUCGAGCGGCAGCGCGGGGCAACCUGGCGGCGAGCGGCGAACGGGUGAGUAAUGUAUCGGAACGUGUCCUGUCGUGGGGGAUAGCCCGGUGAAAACCGGAUUAAUACCGCAUACGAUCGAGAGAUGAAGGUGGGGGACCGCAAGGCCUCACGCGAUAGGAGCGGCCGAUAUCUGAUUAGCUAGUUGGUGGGGUAAAGGCCCACCAAGGCUUCGAUCAGUAGCUGGUCUGAGAGGAUGAUCAGCCAAACUGGGACUGAGACACGGCCCAGACUCCUACGGGAGGCAGCAGUGGGGAAUUUUGGACAAUGGGGGCAACCCUGAUCCAGCCAUUCCGCGUGAGUGAAGAAGGCCUUCGGGUUGUAAAGCUCUUUUGUCCGGGAAGAAACGGUUUCACCUAAUACGUGAGACUACUGACGGUACCGGAAGAAUAAGGACCGGCUAACUACGUGCCAGCCGCCGCCGUAACAC
rnacentral:rRNA from 1 species